rnacentral:rRNA from 1 species
AUGAUUCCUUGGCCGGAGAUCGACGACGACAACGGAGAUGUUGUCCGAGCUGUUCUUGGUCAGAGCCAGCUUGGUGAGCAUGGCCGCCGCCUCGGCGCACCACCUGUCUCUGCCCCUCCGGAGGCAGGCCCGCGCCACCUCGCACGCUGUCUCGUUGUUGACCACGUCCCACAGGCCGUCGCUGGCAAGGAUCAGGCACUCGUCGCCGGCCGCCCUGUCGGUCACCGUCACCUCCGGGACCGCCGUCACGAACGGCUUCAGGUAGCCGUCGCCGAUGGCGCGCGACAUGGCCAGAACGCCCAGCACCCUCGCGCCCUCCCAGAAUAUGACGCGGCCGCCGGCCGCCUCGAUCCUCUCCAGCUCGUCCGGCCUGUCGGGCUUGUGGUCGGAGGAGAGGACGACGGGCGCGCCGUCGCGGCAGAGGACGGCGCGGGAGUCGCCGCAGUUGGCCACCAGGACGCGCUGCUCCCCCACGACGGCCACCACGGCCGUGGACCCCACGUGGUCGCACUUGUUGGCCUCGCAGCGGCAGCUGGCGCUGUCGCCGCCCCCGCUGGCGGUCACCUCGGCGUCCAUCCUCGCGAAACUGCGCUCCAUUGCGCCGGUCCAGGACUCGGGCUGGGCCGCGCCGGCGAGCUCCUCGGCAACGAGCUCGUGCAUCCGGUCUCUGCACGCGUCCGCCACGUGCGAGCAGCCGUGUCCGUCGAAAACGCCGUAGAAGUCGCGCCUGGGCUUCCCCUCCUCGGCCGGGACGGUGAAGGCCUCCCGUAUGGAGACGGCAUCCUCCAUCUCCCUCCUCCGUCCGGCAACCGACGUGAACCCGUGGCGUUUCGCGGGCACCCCCUCGCCCCCAGCCGCGCGGCGCUUCCUCGUGGCCGCGGCCUCCUCGGCGCCCUGCGGCGCCUCCGCGGUGACCUUCCACCUGGCUGCCGCGUCGCCCGCUCUGCGGCGCCUCCCGGCGCGCGCCCUGGCCCUGGCCUCCGCCUCCGCACCGACCACCACCGCCGACGAGGCCGAGUCACAGCACACCUGCGCCAUCGACAUCAACGCCAAGAAACCCCUCUUGCUCUAGACAAGAACACCGUCUGA